rnacentral:rRNA from 1 species
UGGGGAAUCUUGCGCAAUGGGGGAAACCCUGACGCAGCGACGCCGCGUGCGGGAUGAAGGCCUUCGGGUUGUAAACCGCUUUCAGCAGGGACGGGGCCUUAUGGUGACGGUACCUGCAGAAGAAGCUCCGGCUAAAUACGUGCCAGCAGCCGCGGUAAUACGUAUGGAGCAAGCGUUAUCCGGAUUCAUUGGGCGUAAAGCGCUCGUAGGCGGUCUGUUAGGUCGGCAAGUUAAAUCCGGGGGCUCAACCCCCGUCCGCUUCCGAUACCGGCAGACUUGAGUUUGGUAGGGGAGGGUGGAAUUCCUAGUGUAGCGGUGGAAUGCGCAGAUAUUAGGAAGAACACCGGUGGCGAAGGCGGCCUUCUGGGCCAUAACUGACGCUGAGGAGCGAAAGCUAGGGGAGCGAACAGG